CGCGUAGGCGGUUUUUUAAGUCGGAUGUUCAAUCCCCAGGCUCAACCUGGGAACUGCAUCCGAGACUGGAAGGCUAGAGUACUGGAGAGGGUGGUGGAAUUCCUCGUGUAGCGGUGAAAUGCGUAGAGAUGAGGAGGAACACCAGUGGCGAAGGCGGCCACCUGGACAGUAACUGACGCUGAGGCGCGAAAGCGUGGGUAGCAAACA
rnacentral:rRNA from 1 species